rnacentral:rRNA from 1 species
ACGGGAGGCAGCAGUGGGGAAUAUUGGGCAAUGGGCGAAAGCCUGACCCAGCAACGCCGCGUGAAGGAAGAAGAUUUUCGGAUUGUAAACUUCUUUUAUAAGGGACGAAGAAAAUGACGGUACCUUAUGAAUAAGCCACGGCUAACUACGUGCCAGCAGCCGCGGUAAUACGUAGGUGGCAAGCGUUGUCCGGAUUUACUGGGUGUAAAGGGCGCGUAGGCGGGAUCGCAGGUCAGAUGUGAAAUCCAUGGGCUUAACCCAUGAACUGCAUUUGAAACUGUGAUUCUUGAGUAUCGGAGAGGCAAGUGGAAUUCCUAGUGUAGCGGUGAAAUGCGUAGAUAUUAGGAGGAACAUCAGUGGCGAAGGCGGCUUACUGGGCUUUAACUGACGCUGAGGCUCGAAAGCGUAGGGAGCAAACAGGAUUAGAUACCCUGGUA